rnacentral:rRNA from 1 species
UUCCCUUGAGUUUCAGCCUUGCGACCAUACUCCCCAGGCGGAGCACUUAACACUUUCGCAUCGGUCGGAAACCUAUGGAGGAGCCUCCAACCUAGUGCUCAUCGUUUACAGCUAGGACUACCGGGGUAUCUAAUCCCGUUCGCUACCCUAGCUUUCGUGCCUCAGCGUCAGAAAAGACCCAGUGAGCCGCUUUCGCCACAGGUGUUCCUAAUGAUAUCAACGCAUUUCACCGCUCCACCAUUAGUUCCGCUCACCUCUAUCUUCCUCUAGCUUGGCAGUUUUGAGCGCAGUUCCUCGGUUGAGCCGAGGGAUUUCACACCCAACUUGCUAUGUCUCCUACGCACCCUUUAAGCCCAGUGAUUCCGAAUAACGUUUGGACGGUUCGUCUUACCGCGGCUGCUGGCACGAACUUAGCCCGUCCUUCCUCUGAAGAUAGGUCAACUAUGGGGGAGAACCCCCAUAGAUUUCCUCCCAACUGACAGCGGUUUACAACCCGAAGGCCUUCAUCCCGCACGCGGCGUCGCUCCGUCAGGCUUUCGCCCAUUGCGGA